AUACAGUGACUGGUAAGCACUCAGGAGGCUUCGGCCCAGGAGCUGCAGAGCCUGCCAGGAGCUUCUGAUUCCCGCUCUAACCCUGUGACAUGAAGACAUCCGUCAGGGAGGGGAAUGGGCUGGCUGCAUCCUGGCCGAGGAGCUGGAACUACUGGCGGGAGAGCUGGCCCGAACUGCCUCCUCUAGGAGAAAAAGCAGAUGCUUGGCUGGUCUGUUUUCAGGAUGAUAUCUGUCUUAGUUGUGGCAUGAGAACUCUUAGUGGCAGCAUGUGGGAUCUAGUUUCCGGAGCAGGGAUUGAACCCGGGACCCCUGCAUUGGGAGCAUGGAGUCUUAACCACUGAACCACCAGGUCUCACAAACGCACAACACUACAUCACAAUGGAACCGGUGAAGUUUGGGAAUCUGGUAAAUGACCUCAGCUGGACUCACAAAUUCCUUGGCCCCUGGUACUGGAAUCCAGGGCCUGGAGAAGUUCCAUCUGAACCUGGACAUCUCUGCCAGGAUGAGCCAUUCCUCCACAAAUCUGCCAUGCUGCUCACUUGUAAUUGGGGUUUGGUCAAUGAAACCUCUGGGGACUUUCCAGAGCAUCCUGAGUCACUUGUCCAUGUGGGUUUAGUGGGUUUGGAGAACACAGAAUGCCUUUGAAUUAUGUUCAAAGAAAGGCAUGCAUGCACACUCUCUCGUGUCUGACUCUUUGUGACCCCAUGGACUAUAGCCCUCCAGGCACCUCUAUCCAUGGGAUUUCCCAGGCAACAAUACUGGAGUGGGUUGCCAUUUCCUCCUCCAAAAGAAAGAAGUGCAGGAAAGUAAAAAUCUAGAUAGAGAGAGAAAGAUUGAGGAUGAAGGAAGGAAGCAAGGAGGGACUCUUUCUGCAGCCAAUACCAGGGAAAGCCUGGUGUCAAGCUAAUGACGCCCACCCAAUUUUCCACCUUAAUGGGCCCAGCAGCACUGCAUGCAGAGCACGCUAAUCAGAGAACAGAAACUGAAACAUCUAUUUUUUUAAAAUUAAAUUCUGGAAGAACUUGAGUCACUUUACUUUCAGAUAUUUAUUUUAUUCAUUUUACUCACCUAUAGACCAGGGCUUCAGAAUAUCUGCUCCUUUUCAAACUUCUUUCUGUUCCUCUGGAAAAUGGAAAGCAACGCAAAUACUCAAUAUCAUAUUCUGAGCUAGACACUGUAUCAGACAC
ensembl:lncRNA